GUUGCACGCUAUAAAAUACUUUUAUUUGUAUAAAUUAAAUAAAUGUUAGUUUAAAUUGGUUUUGAACGACCGUCCGAACGAAUCGGCCUGUCACAUAAAUUUAAAGUAGGUAGGUACCUGCUAGAAUACUUGAGUGAUACUUGAAAGUUUUCGAUAACUUUAAAUUCGUCCCUAAGUUAUAAAUAAUGUUUUUAAUGUGUAGAGCCGUUCUGCAACCACUUGAAAUAUCCUUUUUUUACUUGUCACGGCUUUUUAAGUGGACGCGCCUUACCUCACAACAGUUUUAGAAGUUUGCCGGAUCGCAGUGAUUUUUAAUAUUCUUAACUUUUGAGGCUAUUAUUUAUUUUACAAGAAAACUAUAUAAUGUCGUAAGUAGAAAGUGUUUACUUAUAAUACCAAGUACUGGAUGGACCUGAAGGCCAAAAUAAAACGUAAAAAUAGAACAAUUCGAGAGAGCAUCAGCAGGACAGGAGGGGGGCCCGCCAAGUGGGGAAGAGCUAACAGAAAUUGACAUAACAUUUUUAAGUAUCCUUGGUGCGGAAUAUGGCAUGGGUUUACCAGCGGUGCAGGUGAACCCAUUGCAGGAUGAUAUGAAACCUGAAGCUGGCCCCUCUGGCAUUCGAGGUAUUGAAGUCGAAUCCAUUACAGAAGAAUGGUUAGAAGUUCCUUCUAGUGUAUUGUAUCUCAAACUGUUAGUUCUUUCGAGGCAGACUCUCUACCUGCAGCUGUAGAAAUUACUACUGCAUCAUCAGAUCCUUCACAAAGCCACGCAGCAGCUGUCUCUGAUGAGGCUGUCGGCGUCGAAGUACCUAGUGUGGUACAGGCUGAAGCCCCGCCACAACCUAGGCGACGGCGCCGACGUGCUCAUUUAACAGCUGCAGAAGCAAGGGUGCAAAUAGUUGAAGCUGCACGACAGAGGGCUGCUACUGAAGCUGCAAAUAGUUUAAUACUUCAAGAAGCUAUUUGUCUCUUCCGUGAAUUAGUGGCUAUAAUUAGAAGAAGGUACGGCGAAAAGCCCAGAGACGUGCCACAAGAUCCCGCCGUGUAGAUAUACCACGUUGAAGCUCAAUGUUGUGUUGCCCAGCUGGUUCAUGAAGAGCUUCCACUGGUGGUUGUUGUGCAACUUCCCUUGCUUGCUCUUCUUCUGUCAACCUUACUUCAGGCAAGUUGUUUUCAUUACAAAUAUUGUGCAAUAUUACACAAGCAUUUGUAAUGAAGCCAGCAACCUGUGGUUGAUAAUGCAACAUGUCCCUGUGGCACAAGAGACACCGGAAACGUGCUUUGAGAAGACCUAUAGUUCUUUCUAUCACAUUCCUAGCCUUUACAUGCUUUUGUGUAUAAUAUGCUUCCGGUGUGUCUGGUUCUGCAUCCAAAAUAGGUGUCAUCAUCGUUCUUCGUUGUGAGUACCCAGAGUCACCUGGAAAUAAACAUUAUAACUCGUGUUAUUUUUUUAUUUUAUUUGAACAUUCAUAUUUUAUAUAAAUUUAAUGAUACAUUUUUAUUUUAAAAUUGAAUCCUACAAAUAUUUUUGACUUUUAAAAUUUUAUUUCAUGUUUUUAAUUGGUCUAGUUUUAAUUAAAAGUGUGUUAAAAAUAUAUCUUUCAAACAAUA